rnacentral:lncRNA from 1 species
ACCCAUAAUUUUUAAUUUGAAUAAAUCAAGUAUAAACUUGUUUCUUGAAAAAUUGUAAUGUAUCAGCCAAUAUUUGACUUUUCAAGUCAAACAUCUAACAAUCUUCCAUUUGACCUAAAGUCGAUUGGCCAUGAACCUAUGUCCCAUCUUCUCAAGAUGGAUUUUAGUCUUUAACUUGCUAAAUAGCUUAGUCAAUAGGUCCACCACAU